UGCUUAAUGGUUGUCUUUCUGAUUGCCUAAAGCAACGUGAAAAAUUCAUUUUACCAGCUAUGAAAGCU